rnacentral:rRNA from 1 species
GCCUACGGGGGCAGCAGUAGGGAAUUUUCGUCAAUGGGCGCAAGCCUGAACGAGCAAUGCCGCGUGAACGAGGAAGGUCUUCGGAUCGUAAAGUUCUGUUGAAGGGGAAAAAGAGCGGAGAGAGGAAAUGCUUUCUGAUUGAUAUUACCCUUCGAGGAAGUCACGGCUAACUACGUGCCAGCAGCCGCGGUAAUACGUAGGUGGCGAGCGUUAUCCGGAAUGAUUGGGCGUAAAGGGUGCGUAGGCGGCCUGCUAAGUCUGGAGUGAAAGGUACCGGCUCAACCGGUACAGGCUCUGGAAACUGG